CGGAAUAGCUCAAUUGGUAGAGCAACUGACUUGUAAUCAGUAGGUUACGGGUUCAAGUCCUGUUUCCGGC
rnacentral:tRNA from 1 species